CUCAGGACGAACGCGGGCGGCGUGCCUAAUACAUGCAAGUCGAGCGGAGUUUGAAUGGAAGCUUGCUUCCAUUCUUACUUAGCGGCGGACGGGUGAGUAACACGUAGGCAACCUGCCCUCAAGACUGGGAUAACUACCGGAAACGGUAGCUAAUACCGGAUAAUUUCUUUCCUCUCCUGAAGAGAGAAUGAAAGGCGGAGCAAUCUGCCACUUGGGGAUGGGCCUGCGGCGCAUUAGCUAGUUGGUGGGGUAACGGCUCACCAAGGCGACGAUGCGUAGCCGACCUGAGAGGGUGAACGGCCACACUGGGACUGAGACACGGCCCAGACUCCUACGGGAGGCAGCAGUAGGGAAUCUUCCGCAAUGGGCGAAAGCCUGACGGAGCAACGCCGCGUGAGUGAUGAAGGUUUUCGGAUCGUAAAGCUCUGUUGCCAGGGAAGAACGUCCGGUAGAGUAACUGCUACCGGAGUGACGGUACCUGAGAAGAAAGCCCCGGCU
rnacentral:rRNA from 1 species